GCAAUUGUGUGGUUUUAUCAGAAGAAAAGAGGCCAGCCAACUGCUGAAUGCAUGCUCCAUAAUUAAAUAAGCCUGUAGUCCUUAAGUGGGGGAAGAGGAACUAUGAUGCUCUGUGCUUCAUGGGAAGAUUUGUCAUGGGGAAAAUCUAUGAUGAUAGGAAUAUCAAAGAGCCUACAGCAAAGGAAAUGGUCAUUAGAAAUGUAUUCUCAGGGCAGAAAACCUUUCCGGCUCUCAUUGUUCUAUGACAUAGACUACAUUCUUGCACUUACAUCCUCAAACCAAACUAUGUUUAAAGGAGUGAGUAAUUCUAUAUGGCUCACUGUGCCAUACACUGUUCGAAAAAACAGAAAAAAGUGAUGGAAACCUACACAAAAAAUCCUUAGUAGAAUGCAGAUGGAUAAAGAAUAUGAAAUUACGACGCUCUAUUCAAAGGAUUUAAACACUCAUCUCACAGCCAAAUCCUAUCCCUGAUUUCUACGGGGAAUGUCUAAAGUAUGUUCUCCUUCACAGACAUAGGAAAAAUACUACAGGACACUGUUAGAUGGCACAUCACAUUAUACACAAAUUGACAAAAUAAUUAAAGUUCAAUAAUAAUUAAAGUUCAAUAGUUAAAAUUCAAUAAAAAUCUGUUUACCUUGUUUGUAGACACUGAACUCUGCUUUGUAACUUUUUACCAACAGCUGAUAGAUAAGACUUUACUAGAAUGAACAUAAUUCUGUUUCUAAAGUCUUUUUCGUCUCAUAUGUAUUUACAUAGAGCAUGGCCUUGAGCUAAUUUUUUUUAGUUCUUGUUCUUCCGUAUUAGCCCUAUUCAAUUUUAUUGUAUUAUAUUUAAGAUUUAAAAUAAUAAUGAUUAUUAACAAUUACUGUACUAUUUAUGUUCUUCUGUUAUUCAUUACAUCUCAUUUCCCUUCAACCACUCUAUGCAGCUCUCCCCAAAUAUGUCUCCUCUCACCCCAGAUCCACUCCUCUUCCCAUUCUCUUAAAAAACAAUGUGAAACAAAACUAAACAAAACAAAGAGCUGCUUCCCCAAGGAUGUGUCAGCAGAGCACCCGAUCUUAGCAUAAAAAGUUACAGUAAAGCUAGGAUCAAAACCUCUCAUUAAAGCUGGGCAAUGCACGAAGUAUAGACAGUGUGUUGAUGGGUGGUAUGUUUCCUUGUUAACAAUUAUCUUUAAAUCUCUUCUGACAAGUGGAUUUAGAGAACUACAGUAAUUCGCAAAAGAUGCUUUCUAGAUAAUACUGUGGAAUCCUUUUCCUUUCAUUACUGUCAACAAUAACUAAGAUCUAAUUGUGGAGUGCUUCUCCAAUCAAUAGACCCCUUACAGGAAGUAAGUCAUAAAAUCUCUACUCUCUAUGGUGCCACUCCCCCUCCUCCACCCCUCUAUCCCCAGCUCCCAGGCUUUAGGGAGAGACUCUUAAUAUGGUGAAACUACAAGGACCAAAAUUCCUUUCGGUUUUCAACUUCCCCUGGUACCAAGCCUAAAAGUGGCAUCUGCCUUCCUUAACUUACUGUACUUGGAGGAAGACAAAACAGUGCUUUGCUUUUUCCGUUUUGAGGUUCAGGAUAUUUUCUUUUGAAUGAAUUUGUAAUUAUAUGAAUAGUAUAAGUCUGCCUUUUUUUUCGUUAGUCUUGUUUUCUUCAAAUAUAGAUUUACAAAUAUAUUUUGCUUUUCAAAAUAAGGGAGUAAAGAGUCAGCUUUAAUUGGGGGAUUACAGAAGUCACGAGUCACUUCGCAUAAUUUCAAAAUGAAAUUUUUUUUCGAAUUUUUAGCAGAUUGGUAGACUGUUUUAUUUUUUACAGUCAAUUUACAUGUGAUUCUUUAAAAGGAAUGUGGUUGUCUAACACAGUGCAUGCUUUGUAUUCUGCAGUUCUUUUAUAUAUCUGCCAAUAUUUAUCUAAGCACAGAAGUAUGAGACAGACAUUAUAGGAGAUGAUUGCUUCAGUAACAUAUAGUUUGUCCUUAAGGAUUAUACCAAUUACAGUGGAUGGGGAUGGUCUCACUGAUUUUAUGCAAUUAUUUGCCUUUUUUUCAUUUAAUAUUUAUUACUCUUUUUUGACUGUCAGUAAAGCAGUUUGUUAUGAAAGCAAAAGAAACUUCAACAUAGUCUUUUUUAAAGACGUUUUGAUUAUAUAAGAGUAUAGCAUAGAAUCUUAGCCAUUAAUUUAUAGCCGAAGAACAACUGAAGGAAAAAUGACUAGAAAAUGACUAACUACUGAGAAAGGCUGACUCAAGAAGGAUCAGAGGGAGAAGAAACCAUCCUGAAAAGAGGAGGGAGAGAAACACACUCAGAUAUGCAGACAAGUGGAUUCUUGCUUAUAGAGAAAUGGUUCUUGCAAAGCAAAGGGUAAAAGCAGAUCUAUGUAGUACUUUACAAGCUAUAUCACAAAACCAUUCUUAUAGAUGGUUAAUGUGGUUUAUCAUUCACUCCAAUAGCAAAAGACCAAUGAGGUGUGCCCAGAUAAAGUGAGAAAAAUGAAGCAGUUGUAGAUAGCAUCUGAGAAUACAUAUAUUAGAGCAGAUAGACUAUUUCAGGGUCUAAAAAUGGUUCUUAUUAAUAUUGAAUUAUAUGUUAAAAUAUACAUAUAUCCUAAAUAUAAGGUUCUGUAUCCUGGAGGAAAUUUGAUUGAGAAGGGAAAUACUGUCAUUUUUAGGACAUUUAAGUGUUUUGUUGUUGCUGCUGUUCUUGUAUCUGCUGUAACUGUUUUACCUGAUACUUUCAGGCAUCUAAUUCUAAAGCUUUGUUCCUAUGUGUCAAAUGCUCUACUUGUGUUCAACGGUGUCAUUCCAAUAAUUCAAGUGCUUUUUCCCCAAAGGUAGAUCUUCCUUUUUUAAACAUAAUACCCCUUUCCAAUAAACAACCCUAAUAUGUUUCAUGAAUUCUACCAUCAAAUAUGAACUGUGCCUAAAUUGUUGUGUUUACUCUGAUUCUCAACAUCAUCAUUCCAAAAUAAAAUUGAAUAUAAAAUUCCUUGAAAAUUCCCAUUCACUGGAAUUUCUGAUAUACUUGUGGAGGUAUGCUGAGAUUUGUAGCCAAUCUUAAGGACCAGGGGAUUUCUGGAAAGAGGGGAAAGAAUUAUUUCUCAGUCCUCACAAGUGGUGAUGAAAAUUGUGUGAAAAUGACCUGUAAUUUCUGUCAAAACAGUGUGUCAUUCUUUUUGCUUUCUGCAAUUUCCUCCAGUAGCCAACUACUUUAUGACAUAGUUAUUUAAACUAUUGGCAUCUAAGGAAUCAAGUACUACUUUCUCUUACCUAAGUAGAAAUGUUACAUAUCUUUGGGCUAUUUUAGUCAAUGCUCAACCUGUAGACAAAAUUGUUUAGUCUCUAAUAUCCUCUGAAGGUGAUAGUCACUUUCAAAAACAUAUUUUCACGUGGCCAGGUUUUAAUAUUAAUAUUUUAUAUUGUCAUUAAAACCUCCCCUUUCCCCAAUGGAUUUCUCAGUCUUCAGUGAAAUGAAAAUCAAAAUGAUCCUGUGAUUCUACCUCACAUUACUCAGAAUGGCUAAGUCUAAAAAACUCAGGUGACAGCAGAUGCUGGUGAGGAUGAAGAGAAAGACGAACACUCAUUCAUUGCUGGUUGGACUGGAAGAUGGUACAACCACUCUGAAAAUCACUCAGAAAAUUGGACAUAGAACUGCCUCAGGCCCAGAUAUACCACUUCUGGUCACAUACCGGAGAGAUGCUCCUACAAAUAACAAGGGCACCUGGCCCACUCUGCUCAUAGCCUUAUUUAUAAUAGCCAGAAGCUGGAAAGAACACGGAUGCCCUUCCACAGAGGAAUGAAUACAGAGAAUUUGGCUUAUAAAAAAAUCACUGAAUUCUUUAAGGUACAUAAUUAGUAAAGUGUUUGAAAUGCAAUGUGACAGAUAUUUUGAUAUUCAAUAUUUGGUAAAGUACUUGCCUAACUAAACAGAUUUGAGCUUGAACUUCAUCAAAAUGCAGGUUACAUUGUGAAAACAAGGAAGAGCAGAUCACAGGAGGUAGACACGCAAAAAUAUGAAUCUCAAGAUCAUCCUAAGCAAGUCUAUGAACUGACUGAGUCCAUUUCAAAGGAAAGGUAAUAUAUGGUCUGUGCUAUUUUAUACUGGAAGUAGGUAACUUGCCUUUGAUUUUAUAGCAGUUACAUUGAUAGUAUUUACUUUACGUUCAGAAGACACUUUGAACUUUUAAAUAAUAAUCAUAUGAAAGAUGAUGAGGUCUUUUAAAGUUGUAUGAUAUACAAUAUUAUUGUGAUUUGGUUGUGAGACUGUGAAGGACAAGAUGGAGAACACAAUGGUUUGAAUGUGAUGUCCAGUAUUUCAAAUUUUCAGAUACCGGAGUCCAAGCUGAUGCUGUUUGGGGACGAUUAUGAGAUACAUCAUUACUGUAUAAGAGAUAUCCCUGGAGAUAGCUUUCUGUCUUUCAAAUAUCGCAUGAUGUUUCAGAUAGCCCACUGUUCUUUCUCUCUGCAGUUUGAGAGAGAAGCUGCUACUUCAGCAACCUGCUGCUAGCAACUUACAAUACAGAAAGAUGAGAAAUAAUUUUUCCCACUACAAUUUUAAUUUUAUUAAUUUAUUUUUGUUUUUGUUACUAAAGGAUUCCAAAACAUAGUCCUGGCUGUAGUUAAAAACAAUUCUUACCAUCUUUCUAUGACUCUCAGGUGUUAAAUUUAAAGGCAUCUACAAAGUUCCAGGAAGGAUUGUGAGAGGAAGUGACUAGGACGGAAACAUUGAGCUGGAUGCAAAUUAAAUACUUUAAAAAGCAAAUUAAAGUGUAUUAGAAGGUUUUAAUUAUAUAACAUGAUUGAUUUCUUUGAGUCAUUUUCAUAUAUAAUGUAUCUUAUCUUAUUCAUCCCAUUAUUCUUUUUUAUGCCUACAUAUGCUUCUGUUUCUUCUUCCAUAAACUGUCCUUUUCCCUUUUCUCCUUCCUCCUUCCCUCUAUCCCUUAUUUUCUAUUUACUUCUUUUCUUCUACCUUCUCACCCUCCUUUUUCCCCUUUAUUGUUUUCUUCACUGACCAUUAUCUCAUUUGUUCUUUUGCUUUAUUAUUUUGAGUAGACAUGUAAUAAUUUGUAAAUAAUUUUCUGGAGAAGGUUCUUAUACAGCAAUCAGUGGUAACUUUGUAGGCUUAUAACUGGUCAAAGUGCUGAGCAUAGGGACUGUUGAAACCUCACAUGAACAUGAGAAUACUUUAUCAUUCCUCAAACUAUCUUGAAGGAGAUAAUAAUUGGUAAAUAAUAAGUGCCAAAAAGGAUGUGUGAUAGGUUUGAACAUCUUUCAAACAUAACAUCACUAUUAUACCAUUGGUCUCACAGAACAUGUCAUUACUGGCACAAAACCUGUGCAAGUUUGGAUCUGUUAACCUUCUGUCAUGGGAAGCAGAGAAGGGCUCAUGAACACCAUAGUAGAAACUUUAUGACAGCUUGGGUAAGAUGUUUAAUAACCAUCUAGACAAUUAAUGUCAAGUAAAGAAACAAAAUUAGCUGUAACUCAAAUCUUACUCUCCUGCCUGCUCUUGCUCUUUUGUAGCCUGACUAACAUUGAAUUUAUUAUCCUUCUGCUUUAUCCUCUUGAGUUCUAAAAUUAAUGAUGUGUUAGAUCAUAUCUAAUUAUAUUUUAGUUCUUCCAAUUAAAGUAGUGUCAAAUAUCAGAAAAAAUGUCUGAAUAAUAACAAUAUGUAAUUUGUGAAGAAAUGUUCAACACACUCACAGAUACAGACACACCCACCCACAAACAUGCAUGCAUGCAUAGGAGAAACAACAAGAACGUUCUCACUGAUCUUAUUACUAUUGUACUAUAAGAUUAACAGAGGUAAAAAGAAAGUAACAUGCAAAUUAUUAAAUGAUACCUUAAACAGAUACAUUUGAAAUUAAUCUUUAAACAAAGGAUAAUUUAUCUCAGAAUACAAAUAUUAACCCUACAUGUAUCAUCCUAGUGAUUGAUAAGAUUCUAAAUACUCCAACAGUAAUUUUUACCUUGCUUGUUUCUAUAUUUAUUCUUCAUACAUUAGUUUAUGUAGUGGGUUUGGCCUAUUGCAGGUUAUUUUAUAUUAAUUUGGCUUCCCAAACUGUGUGCAUGAGAAUCCCAUGUCUGCACUUGACAGCGGGAACCUGCACCCACUUGUGCUCAGUCCAACUGUUGGCUGAAACAAUCCACAUCUGUAUUGGACAGACUGUGGCAGAGCCUGUCCAGAGACACCUAUAUCAGGCUCCUGUCAGCAAGCACUUUUGGCAUCAGCAACAGUCUGGGCGUGAUGAACCCAUAUGGGAUAGAUCCCCAGGGAAAUGGUGUUUGUUUGAAAUUUAAUGGGGUUACAGUUAACAAAAUAAUCACAAAAUGUUUUUUUCUUUCUUUUCAAAAAUUGAUGAUAGAAGUUUUAUCUCAGUACUUCAUGGUUUAUUGGGAAUAUAUUUAUGGCCAAGAAAAAAGUAAAAGAAUAGGGGAUGGAAAAAUUUUAACUGCUAGGGAGACUUUGGCUAUUGAAAAUGGGGAGGUAUAAGAAAUAUUGAGGGGAAGGCCUUGUAGGGCAUCAAUGGGAGGAGAAGCACUUGGUCCUAGAUGCCCCAGUGUAGGGGAAUGACUGGGUUGUGAGGUGGGAGGGAGUGGGUAGAUGGGUGAGGGAGCACCCUCAAAAAAGAGGGGGUGAUGAAGAGGAUAACAUUUAAAAUGUAAGUAAAAAUUUAAUCCAAUAAAAGAAUAAAAGAAACAUACUCAGGUAUAGAAGCUGGUAGGUGCUUGUGCACUCAAAAGUUUUUUUAUUAAAUAUGAUUUUAUAUGAAAAAGUACAAUCAUCAAAGUGCAUCACAAAUAAUAAUCCUGAGGUGAAUUUUAUUUUAAAAAAACACAAUAGGAAGUACAACAGUGUCAAUUCACCCAGAUCCCCCAGUGUUCCCAGAGACUAAGCCAAAAAACAAGGAGUCCACAUGGGUUCAUUUUUGGUUUCAGGGACAUGAGGUGCAGAGCUCUGCCUUGUAUGGCCUCCUCGGGAAAGGAUGUGCUAAACCCUGUAGAUCCUUGAUGCCCCAGGGAAGAGGAAUGCUGGUGAUGUAGGGUUAGGGUGGGAGAGCACCAUCUCAGAGGUGGUGAGGGGAGUCGAGUUAGCAUAUAUGUUUAUUUGUAUGUUGCCUUCUUUCUUUCUUCCUGUUUCUAUGCGUUCAUGGAUCAAAUUCCACAGCUUUGUACAAAUUUGGCAAUUAUUCUACAGUGGUAAUAUUUCUGAAAAAAUAAUUUGACACUUGCUCAUCCAGCAGCCAUCGAUGUUAAUUUCAUAUGAUCAAACUAUUGGUGAGUACACAUUUAUCGUAAUUGGAAUUUUAAUGGUUUUUCAUUAAUUAUCGACCAACACUGAAUGCAACCAGAAUUAUUUCUCAGAAAACCCUUAGAACAGCACAAAUUCUUGGAUAUAACCUGAAACACAUAUUUUUGUGUGUGAAAAUGACCAUUUAGAAUAGCAUCAAAUAAUUUUAUGCUAGGACGUACAAUGUCCGUCGACAUGUUUUUUAUGUAUGUUUGCAGUGCCAUGCCUCAUUUUUUAGCCUCUGAAGGAAGCCUCAAUUGCGAUAAAGAAAGCGGUUGUUUAGUCCUAUAGACCGUUUCACUGGUACUGUACUUUUGGCACAUUUUGCCUCUCAUGUCAUUAUUGUAGCCUGCAAUGUCCAGCAGUACGUAAAUAAAUCACUAUCUUUGAUCUUGCUAAUAAUCUGAAUAGCACUUCCAUGUAGUAUUAAAGAGAGCUGACAGAACCAAUUUUUAAUUAGUUCAUGCUUGGUUGUUUCUUAAUGUAUGAAAUAUGAAAUAUGAGAUACAUUCAACAAUGUGGCCUUACCUUAAUAUUUUCAAGGGGAAUUAAAAUAAAUGCACUAACCUGUUAUUUGUAGAUGCUUUUUGGUUUUAUGACCAAGAACUCGUACAAAAGUAAUCUUUGUCUUUCAUUGAAAUUUGUAUUUAAUAACCCAUAUAUUCUUGAGCUUCACUGUCUGGUUCAUUAUGUAAGAUAUAAGGCUUUGUCUCAGCAGGUAUUCACAACAAUCUAUGUAACCUUGAUUUCCUAUAGACCUAACCUUUGAAUUGCAGAUCUGUCACUAAUAAUUUUCAGUGCAUGAGUAAAAGAAAUGUUUUCUUUUGUUUAUCUUUAAAUUCUCAAGUCGCACUUCAUGAUUGAGAGAAGACAAGGCAUUAACUCAAGGUAAGAACUGGAAGCAGGAGCUUAAACAGAAGCGUUGUUGCUGCUUACCAGUUUUCUUCCUGUGGGUAGUUCAGAAUCCUUCCUAAUACACACCAGGAUCCCCUAAACAGGUGAGGUACCACACGCAGUGGGCUGGUUCCUCCCCCAUCAAUCAUCAUUUAAGAAAAUGACCCCACAGACUUGUACACAGGAAAACUGGUAG
ensembl:lncRNA